CGUAGGGACCAAGCGUUGUUCGGAUUUACUGGGCGUAAAGGGCGCGUAGGCGGCGUGACAAGUCACUUGUGAAAUCUCUGAGCUUAACUCAGAACGGCCAAGUGAAACUGUUGUGCUAGAGUGCAGAAGGGGCAAUCGGAAUUCUUGGUGUAGCGGUGAAAUGCGUAGAUAUCAAGAGGAACACCUGAGGUGAAGACGGGUUGCUGGGCUGACACUGACGCUGAGGCGCGAAAGCCAGGGGAGCAAACGGGAUUAGACUACCCCGGUAGUCCUGGCCCUAAACGAUGAAUACUUGGUGUCUGGAGUUAUUAGUGCGUCCGGGUGCCGUCGCUUAACGUUUUUAGUAUUCCGCCGUGGGGAGUACGCUCGCAAGAGUAG
rnacentral:rRNA from 1 species